AACGAACGCUGGCGGCAUGCCUAACACAUGCAAGUCGAACGAGACCUUCGGGUCUAGUGGCGCACGGGUGCGUAACGCGUGGGAACCUGCCCUUAGGUUCGGAAUAACUCCCCGAAAGGGGUGCUAAUACCGGAUAAUGUCUUCGGACCAAAGAUUUAUCGCCUUUGGAUGGGCCCGCGUUGGAUUAGCUAGUUGGUAGGGUAAAAGCCUACCAAGGCGACGAUCCAUAGCUGGUCUGAGAGGAUGAUCAGCCACACUGGGACUGAGACACGGCCCAGACUCCUACGGGAGGCAGCAGUGGGGAAUAUUGGACAAUGGGCGAAAGCCUGAUCCAGCAAUGCCGCGUGAGUGAUGAAGGCCUUAGGGUUGUAAAGCUCUUUUACCCCGGAUGAUAAUGACAGUACCGGGAGAAUAAGCUCCGGCUAACUCCGUG
rnacentral:rRNA from 1 species